rnacentral:rRNA from 1 species
UACGUAGGGAGCGAGCGUUGUCCGGAUUUAUUGGGCGUAAAGAGCUCGUAGGCGGCUCAGUAAGCCGGGUGUGAAACCUCCAGGCUCAACUUGGAGAGGCCAUUCGAAACUGCUGUGGCUAGAGUCUGGUAGGGGAACAUGGAAUUCCUGGUGUAGCGGUGAAAUGCGCAGAUAUCAGGAGGAACACCAGUGGCGAAGGCGGUGCUCUGGGCCGGAACUGACGCUGAGGAGCGAAAGCGUGGGGAGCGAACAGG